UUUUCAGGACCUGGUCUCUGUCGCUGGAGUAUGGAACAAGGGGGAGGCAUUGCUUUGGGUGUGGCAGUGGGAGAGAGUCAUACCCUGAGCCUGACCUCGAUAUGUUUAAAGGACCAACAGAGCGAGCACACAGCCAUUAGAAUCACCUUUCUUUCCAUCAAGUCUCAGGAUGUGCCUCCUUCCAAAACAUGAGCUGGACACAGUGGACAUGGAUAAUUACUCCUGUGAUACCAGCAGACAUAUGGUCUUGUGGCAACACUUGAGCUCACUGAGCCCAGAUCAAAAUAUUUUACGAAAUGGUUUAUGCUAUAGGCCAAAGAAAGCUGAAAAAAGGUAAGAGACUUGUCUUUUUCUUGGAGAAGAAAUAGAUAUUUGGUAAAUUGAAACAACAAAAAGGCAUAAUACAACACAUGUAGGUGUCAUGAUCUAAGACAUGAGAAUAAAAAUAGAAUGUAUGAUUUUUUAAGCCAGAGAAGACAAUUUUAAUUAUCCCAGGAAUGCAGGAAAGAAGACAAAAAGGGGGAAAAGAAAAUACAGAAAUUUGGAAAUAUGAAAUAAUGUGGAAAAAAUAAUGACCAAGAGAACAGAAUGUGCACUAAUUGAAAAUUGGUUAAUCUCACUAAAUGAAAGACAGAACCAUCCAGACUAGAUUAUAAUAACACACAUACACAUACACGCUCACACAUACAGCAGUUUUGUAAAAGAGACAAUGGACUUGACAUCUUGAAAUAGGGAUUUUGUAGUUUACUAAAUGAAGAUCUACAUUCAUUAAGAAUGCAGGAAAAGUUUUUGAUAUAAUCUAACAUCCAUUCCUGAUGAAACAAACAAAUCAACAAACUUCCCAGCAAACAAGUGAUAGAACUUCUUCAACCUACUAAAGGCCUCUGAGAAAAACCCACAGCUAACAUCAUUCUUUUUUUUUUCAACAUAUGAAAUUUAUUGUCAAAAUGGUUUCCAUACAACACCCAGUGCUCAUCCCAAAAGGUGCCCUCCUCAAUACCCAUCACCCGCCCUCCUCUCCCUCCCACCCGCCAUCAACCCUCAGUUUGUUCUCAGUUUUUAAGAGUUUCUCAUGCUUUGGCUCUC